GACGAACGCUGGCGGCGUGCCUAAUACAUGCAAGUAGAACGCACAGUUUAUACCGUAGCUUGCUACACCAUAAACUGUGAGUUGCGAACGGGUGAGUAACGCGUAGGUAACCUGCCUGGUAGCGGGGGAUAACUAUUGGAAACGAUAGCUAAUACCGCAUAAUAUUGAUUAUUGCAUGAUAAUUGAUUGAAAGAUGCUAUUGCAUCACUACCAGAUGGACCUGCGUUGUAUUAGCUAGUAGGUGAGGUAACGGCGCACCUAGGCGACGAUACAUAGCCGACCUGAGAGGGUGCUCGGCCCCACUGGGACUGAGACACGGCCCAGACUCCUACGGGAGGCAGCAGUAGGGAAUCUUCGGCAAUGGACGAAAGUCUGACCGAGCAACGCCGCGUGAGUGAAGAAGGUUUUCGGAUCGUAAAGCUCUGUUGUAAGAGAAGAACGGGUGUGAGAGUGGAAAGUUCACACUGUGACGGUAUCUUACCAGAAAGGGACGGCUAACUACGUG
rnacentral:rRNA from 1 species